rnacentral:rRNA from 1 species
UCGAACGAUGAACUCCAGCUUGCUGGGGGGAUUAGUGGCGAACGGGUGAGUAACACGUGAGUAACCUGCCCUGGACUCUGGGAUAACCCCGAGAAAUCGGAGCUAAUACCGGAUAGGACCCUGGACCGCAUGGUUUGGGGUGGAAAGUUUUUCGGUCUGGGAUGGACUCGCGGCCUAUCAGCUUGUUGGUGAGGUAAUGGCUCACCAAGGCGUCGACGGGUAGCCGGCCUGAGAGGGUGACCGGCCACACUGGGACUGAGACACGGCCCAGACUCCUACGGGAGGCAGCAGUGGGGAAUAUUGCACAAUGGGCGCAAGCCUGAUGCAGCAACGCCGCGUGCGGGAUGACGGCCUUCGGGUUGUAAACCGCUUUUAGUAAGGAAGAAGGGGAGCUUGCUCCUUGACGGUACUUGCAGAAAAAGGACCGGCUAACUACGUGCCAGCAGCCGCGGUAAUACGUAGGGUCCGAGCGUUGUCCGGAAUUAUUGGGCGUAAAGAGCUCGUAGGCGGUUUGUCGCGUCUGCUGUGAAAUCCCGAGGCUCAACCUCGGGCCUGCAGUGGGUACGGGCAGACUGGAGUGCGGUAGGGGAGAAUGGAAUUCCUGGUGUAGCGGUGGAAUGCGCAGAUUUCAGGAGGAACACCGAUGGCGAAGGCAGUUCUCUGGGCCGUAACUGACGCUAAGGAACGAAACCUGGGGGAG